AUAGGCUGCACCUGGAGGGGAGCUAGGGCUCAAUAAUGCUUAAUUAAGGAUGAAGCUCACCUGGGCUGGCACAGGCAGAGCUUCUGUCAGGCUAGGAACAGAAAGGGGCUACAGGGGGAAAGCGUUUGCAGUGACUUCCCGUACAGGAGGGAGGUUUGUUAGAGAUUACAGGGCCUGCCAAGAAGCUAAAGGGAGAAAUAGCCACAGGGAGUAGAGGAAGCUCAGCUGGGUAGUAAACCCAGAGGCUUGAAAGAGGAAGCUGCAGAAAGCCAGGGGAAGUAGCAACCAGGGCUGGGUGCAAGUAGACCAUAGGUCUGUAGUCUCAAACCUGGGGUAGAGGGCAGAGCUGGGUUUCCCCUACUAGCCCUGGGAAGUGAUACAGCCUUGGCCAUAAAACACAGGCCUGCCUGGAACAGCAGCUUGUCCAGAGAGACCUUGAUAGACCCCUGGAAGGGGAGAACUAAAGUGACAUGGGCUGAGUCACAAAGAUCAUGCAGAGUCCUGGAGGGUGCGAUUGAGACAACAGGUGACUGCGGAAGGGGCUUCUAAUUGUGGGCUAAUUCCCAGAUGGGCUGCUAGAAGGCAUGCAAGUGGUGCCCAGAACAACAACAUACUCAACAAAGCUGAGACUCAUCAGUGAAUUCUCGUAAAGGGUAUUUGGAAGUUUAGCGCCAAAAUCUUCAACUGGUGUAAAUUGCUGAAGUCAUACAGGACACAGGUAUGAAGUGUUCAUCUACAAAGGAAAUUCUUCUUGAUGCUAGAAAUUCAAAUCUUGUUUACAAUGGAAGACCCUGGUGCCUGGAGAACUAGUGGAAAAGUUGCAUCCCUGGAGAAGAUUUUAAGCUGACUAGUUCAUGGGGAAAUGGAUGUUCAGUAACUGUUUGAUUUUCAGAGUGGGAACAUCUACGACUACAACUGCACUCAAUGGGAGCAGUGAAUACUCAGCAUAUCUGAAAUUCAGAUCACUUGUACAACACCUAUUUAACACCACGGAUUAACAGGCAUUUGGGUUUAACUCUAGUCUAUACUUAUGCCUGUAUUGCUAUAUGGGCAAACCCUUCUAGUGUAGGUGCAGCUUAUAUGGGCAAAAGGGUGCUUUGCUAGCAACUGUCUCUACCAUGGGGCUUUUGCAUUUAAAAAAAAAAAUUGCUCUCCAACUGACAUUUUACUGGCAAACGUUUCUAGGGUAUACCUUGCCUUAGUUAAAGACUCAGCACACUCCUUCUUCCCACACACCCUAUUCACAAGAAAGAAUUCCCAUACAUAUAGAAGACCCCCAAGAAGUCCUCCAGGAAAAAAAACCACAGGAAUAACCAGAGUUUAAAUUCCUAAGGUAAAAGAAAAAAAUCAGAGCCCUUCUAUUCUCUCCCCCCACCUCCCGUUAAAGUAGCCUUCUUUCUACAUGAAGACGACUCAAAGGAAAGCUCAAGCUCAGUUUAAAUAACUUCUGCAGGUCCCCUUGUAAUGAACAGACUAAAUUACCCUUAGGAUUUCUCUGGCUUGGCUGCUCAUGGCUAUGCGAGGAGAUAAAGCCUCAAUCAAAAACACUUCAGGUUAUUUGCUGACUUCUGGCAGCAGGAUAUUCAUAAGCCUUUUGGCAUGAACGGUCAGUGGAUCAGCUGUCACAAACCUUGCUU